GAUGAACGCUGGCGGCGUGCCUAAUACAUGCAAGUAGAACGCUGAAGCUUGGUGCUUGCACCGAGCGGAUGAGUUGCGAACGGGUGAGUAACGCGUAGGUAACCUGCCUCUUAGCGGGGGAUAACUAUUGGAAACGAUAGCUAAUACCGCAUAAAAGUCGAUAUCGCAUGAUAUUGAUUUGAAAGGUGCAAAUGCAUCACUAAGAGAUGGACCUGCGUUGUAUUAGCUAGUUGGUGAGGUAACGGCUCACCAAGGCGACGAUACAUAGCCGACCUGAGAGGGUGAUCGGCCACACUGGGACUGAAACACGGCCCAGACUCCUACGGGAGGCAGCAGUAGGGAAUCUUCGGCAAUGGGGGCAACCCUGACCGAGCAACGCCGCGUGAGUGAAGAAGGUUUUCGGAUCGUAAAGCUCUGUUGUAAGAGAAGAACGAGUGUGAGAGUGGAAAGUUCACACUGUGACGGUAACUUACCAGAAAGGGACGGCUAACUACGUG
rnacentral:rRNA from 1 species